rnacentral:rRNA from 14 species
UUGAGAGUUUGAUCCUGGCUCAGAACGAACGCUGGCGGCAUGCCUAACACAUGCAAGUCGAACGAAGGCUUCGGCCUUAGUGGCGCACGGGUGCGUAACGCGUGGGAAUCUGCCCUUGGGUUCGGAAUAACAGUUGGAAACGACUGCUAAUACCGGAUGAUGUCGCGAGACCAAAGAUUUAUCGCCCAGGGAUGAGCCCGCGUCGGAUUAGGUAGUUGGUGGGGUAAAGGCCUACCAAGUCAAUGAUCUUUCACUGGUCUUAGCGGAUGACCAGUCACACUGGGACUGAGAUACGGCCCAGACUCUUUUUGGAGGCAGCAGUGAGGAAUCUUGGACAAUGGGCGCAAGCUUGAUCCAGCUAUUUCGCGUGGGUGAAGAAGGUUAUGUUGAUCGUAAAGCCCUUUCAUGGAGGUGAAAGAUAAUGUCUUAACUCUAAAAAGAAGCUCCGGCAAAUUCUGUGCCAGCAGCCGCGGUAAGACAGAGGAUGCAAGUGUUAUUCGGAUUGAUUGGGCGUAAAGCGUCUGUAGGCGGUUUGGAAAGUCUUUUGUGAAAUUCUUCAGCUCAACUGGGGGUCCGCAAAAGAAACUUCUAAGCUUGAGGGAAGUAGAGGUAUAGGGAAUUUCCGGUGGAGCGGUGAAAUGCGUAGAUAUCGGAAGGAACACCAAUAUGGCGAAGGCACUGUACUGGGCUUUACCUGACGCUAAGAGACGAAAGCUAAAGGAGUGAUUAGGAUUAGAUACCCUAGUAAUUUUAGCCGUAAACGAUGGAAACUCACUGCCGAGCCGGUAUUCGGAGCGGUGGUCAAGCUAACGCGUGAAGUUUCCCGCCUGGGGACUACGCAUGCAAAUGUGAAACUCAAAGGAAUUGACGGGGACCCGCACAAGCGGUGGAGUAUGUGGUUUAAUUCGAUCAACGCGAAAAACCUUACCAGGGUUUGAAAUCAUUCCAAAACCUUUUGAAAGAAAGGCCUCCUUCGGGAUGGAAUGACAGGUGGUGCAUGGCUGUCGUCAGCUCGUGUUGUGAAAUGUCAAGUUAAGUCUUGUAACGAGCGCAACCCAUGUCAUUUGUUGCUGUUUUCAGUGCUUAAAUGAGACUGCCGCUCUACAGCGGAGGAAGGUGUGGAUGAUGUCAAGUCAGCAUGCCCCUUAUAUCCUGGGCUACACACGUACUACAAUGGUCGGGACAAUGAGCUGCAAACCUGCAAAGGCUAGCCAAUCUCAAAAACCCGAUCUCAGUUCGGAUUGUACUCUGCAACUCGAGUGCAUGAAGGUGGAAUCGCUAGUAAUCGCUGGUCAGCAUACAGCGGUGAAUACGUUCCCGGGUCUUGUACACACUGCCCGUCACACCAUGGAAGUCGACUCUUCCCUAAGUCGUUACUCGAACCCUUUUGGGACGAGGAUGCCGAAGGCAGGGUUGGUGACUAGGGUGAAGUCGUAACAAGGUAGCCGUACUGGAAGGUGUGGCUGGAAUACCUCCUU